rnacentral:rRNA from 1 species
UACGUAGGGGGCAAGCGUUGUCCGGAAUCAUUGGGCGUAAAGAGCGUGUAGGCGGCUUGGUAAGUCCGCUGUGAAAGUCCAGGGCUCAACCCUGGAAAGCCGGUGGAAACUGUCAAGCUUGAGUCCGGAAGAGGAGAGUGGAAUUCCUGGUGUAGCGGUGAAAUGCGCAGAUAUCAGGAAGAACACCCGUGGCUAAGGCGGCUCUCUAGUACGGUACUGACGCUGAGACGCGAAAGCGUGGGGAGCGAACAGG